rnacentral:rRNA from 1 species
GACGAACGCUGGCGGCGUGCUUAACACAUGCAAGUCGAACGGAAAGGCCCUGCUUUUGUGGGGUGCUCGAGUGGCGAACGGGUGAGUAACACGUGAGUAACCUGCCCUUGACUUUGGGAUAACUUCAGGAAACUGGGGCUAAUACCGGAUAGGAGCUCCUGCUGCAUGGUGGGGGUUGGAAAGUUUCGGCGGUUGGGGAUGGACUCGCGGCUUAUCAGCUUGUUGGUGGGGUAGUGGCUUACCAAGGCUUUGACGGGUAGCCGGCCUGGGAGGGUGACCGGCCACAUUGGGACUGAGAUACGGCCCAGACUCCUACGGGGGGCAGCAGUGGGGAAUAUUGCACAAUGGGCGGAAGCCUGAUGCAGCAACGCCGCGUGUGGGAUGACGGCCUUCGGGUUGUAAACCGCUUUCGCCUGUGACGAAGCGUGAGUGACGGUAAUGGGUAAAGAAGCACCGGCUAACUACGUG